GUGUGUAGCUUAGUGGUAGAGUGCUUACUUAGUAUGCACAAGGCCAUGGGUUUGAUCCUCAGCACUACA
rnacentral:tRNA from 1 species